GGCAGUGGCUCAGGAGGUAGAGCGGGUUGUCUGGCAACCGGAAGGUUGCUGGUUCGAUCCCUGGCUCCUCCUAGCCA